rnacentral:rRNA from 1 species
AGAGAGUGCGAACGUUGUUCGGAAUUACUGGGCUUAAAGCGCACGUAGGCGGCGCCGCAAGUGCGGGGUGAAAUCCCACGGCUUACCCGUGGAACUGCCUUGCAGACUGUGGUGCUAGAGGAUGGUAGGGGAGAGCGGAACUCCUGGUGGAGCGGUGAAAUGCGUAGAUAUCAGGAGGAACACCGGUGGCGAAGGCGGCUCUCUGGUCCAUGACUGACGCUGAGGUGCGAAAGCUAGGGGAGCAAACGGGAUUAGAUACCCCGGUAGUCCUAGCUGUAAACGAUGGGCACUAGCUUGGGGUCUCCCUGUGUGAUCCCAGGUGAAGCAAAAGUGAUAAGUGCCCCGCCUGGGGAGUAUGGUCGCAAG